CCACUCAAUGACUCUUCAUUGUGGGGAUGACACCAACUACACAGUAGAACACAAGACGCUCUUCCCCAUGCUACGCUCAAUUGUUCAUAAAUUAGCAGACUUUAUGGACAGAAGAGACAAUUAGAUCAUGAGUGUGGUCAAAGGGCUAAACGUAGGGAACCUGAUGGGGACACAGAGCAGAGAACCCCGGACAGCGCCCACUGCUCCUCGAAGACGACAAGGAAGCCAGCGGACGCCGCCCAGAGGAACUGUGCCAGGAUGUGUGAACGGACUGAGGAGCAGAAAUAGGCUCCACAGUCGCAGGAAAUCCCAUCGGCCAACUUCCUCUCCCUGCUUUUGUAGAUGGCCAGUUUGGCCAGGGCCAAGAGGAGGCUGACAAGGAAGUCCCACGACUUAGUGGGACCUUGGAUGGAGAGUGCAUAGAUGAACAGAAUCUUCAAAUGGGCCUGGAUUUUUUGCUGAAGAAACAGAAAUGAUUU